AUCUGAAAUCAGGUAGGAUUACCC
rnacentral:rRNA from 2 species